UUGGAGGGCAAGUCUGGUGCCAGCAGCCGCGGUAAUUCCAGCUCCAAUAGCGUAUAUUAAAGUUGUUGCAGUUAAAAAGCUCGUAGUUGAAUUUCGGGAUUAGUACGCUGGUCGUGCCUUCGGUACGUACUGGUGUUACUGAUUCCUACCUUCUGACGAACCAUCAUGUCAUUAAUUUGGUGUGGCGGGGAAUCAGGACUGUUACUUUGAAAAAAUUAGAGUGUUUAAAGCAGGCUCGCGCUUGAAUACAUUAGCAUGGAAUAAUGAAAUAGGACGUUGAUCCUAUUUUGUUGGUUUCUAGGAUUGACGUAAUGAUUAAUAGGGAUAGUUGGGGGCAUUAGUAUUCAAUUGUCAGAGGUGAAAUUCUUGGAUUUAUUGAAGACUAACUACUGCGAAAGCAUUUGCCAAGGAUGUUUUCAUUAAUCAAGAACGAAAGUUAGGGGAUCGAAGACGAUCAGAUACCGUCGUAGUCUUAACCAUAAACUAUGCCGACUAGGGAUCGGAUGAUGUUAUUUUUAAUGACUCAUUCGGCGCCUUACGGGAAAC
rnacentral:rRNA from 1 species